AAGAAGUUUGAUGAAUUGAUGGGUA
rnacentral:piRNA from 1 species